CAGCAGUGGGGAAUCUUAGACAAUGGGCGCAAGCCUGAUCUAGCCAUGCCGCGUGAGUGAUGAAGGCCUUAGGGUCGUAAAGCUCUUUCGCCAGGGAUGAUAAUGACAGUACCUGGUAAAGAAACCCCGGCUAACUCCGUGCCAGCAGCCGCGGUAAUACGGAGGGGGUUAGCGUUGUUCGGAAUUACUGGGCGUAAAGCGCRCGUAGGCGGAUURGAAAGUUGGGGGUGAAAUCCCAGGGCUCAACCCUGGAACUGCCUCCAAAACUAUCAGUCUAGAGUUCGAGAGAGGUGAGUGGAAUUCCGAGUGUAGAGGUGAAAUUCGUAGAUAUUCGGARGAACACCAGUGGCGAAGGCGGCUCACUGGCUCGAUACUGACGCUGAGGUGCGAAAGUGUGGGGAGCAAACAGGAUUAGAUACCCUGGUAGUCCACACCGUAAACGAUGAAUGCCAGUCGUCGGGUAGCAUGCUAUUCGGUGACACACCUAACGGAUUAAG
rnacentral:rRNA from 1 species